CGAAAGACGAGUGAUCGGCGACGGAAAAUACUAAAAGAAAACCUUCGCCGCUACGCAUAUACUGCUCUCGCAUUGCGCUGAAUUCUUCUUGUCCAGCGGUAUCCAAGACUGCGGAAAACAAAAUUAUCAAUGAAAAGCCAAGCUGCGGCCGCAAACGGAGCUGAGGUAUCAGCUGCCGCUAUGGCUAGACUCUCAAAAGAGGGAGAAAAUAAUCUACAAGAGGUAUACGGCCAGCGCCUAGAUACGUUGGAGUGGAUGUUCAGAUUGUUUUAAUGAUGGCUGCCCACAAGAGUUUGGCUCUAUGCAAUAUUUACAUUAAUGUACGCAGAGAGUCUCAAGACCCCUUUGCUGCCUCUUCCGAAAUGUCCGAAAA